rnacentral:piRNA from 2 species
UGCUUCCUUUUUUGUUGUUGUUUUGUUUGC